GUGUCAGCAGCCGCGGUAAUACGUAGGGUGCGAGCGUUAAUCGGAAUUACUGGGCGUAAAGCGUGCGCAGGCGGUUCUAUAAGACAGAUGUGAAAUCCCCGGGCUCAACCUGGGAAUGGCAUUUGUGACUGUAGAGCUAGAGUACGGUAGAGGGGGAUGGAAUUCCGCGUGUAGCAGUGAAAUGCGUAGAUAUGCGGAGGAACACCGAUGGCGAAGGCAAUCCCCUGGACCUGUACUGACGCUCAUGCACGAAAGCGUGGGGAGCAAACAGGAUUAGAUACCCCUGUAGUCC
rnacentral:rRNA from 1 species